rnacentral:rRNA from 1 species
AUUGAACGCUGGCGGCAGGCCUAACACAUGCAAGUCGAGCGGAUGAAGGGAGCUUGCUCCUGGAUUCAGCGGCGGACGGGUGAGUAAUGCCUAGGAAUCUGCCUGGUAGUGGGGGAUAACGUCCGGAAACGGGCGCUAAUACCGCAUACGUCCUGAGGGAGAAAGUGGGGGAUCUUCGGACCUCACGCUAUCAGAUGAGCCUAGGUCGGAUUAGCUAGUUGGUGGGGUAAAGGCCUACCAAGGCGACGAUCCGUAACUGGUCUGAGAGGAUGAUCAGUCACACUGGAACUGGGACACGGUCCAGACUCCUACGGGAGGCAGCAGUGGGAAAUAUUGGACAAUGGGCGAAAGCCUGAUCCAGCCAUGCCGCGUGUGUGAAGAAGGUCUUCGGAUUGUAAAGCACUUUAAGUUGGGAGGAAGGGCAGUAAGUUAAUACCUUGCUGUUUUGACGUUACCAACAGAAUAAGCACCGGCUAACUUCGUG